rnacentral:rRNA from 1 species
AUGAGAUUUCCCAUUCCUAUAUGGAAGUAAGACCCCUGAAAGAUGAUCAGGUAGAUAGGCUGGAAGUGGAAGUGCAGCGAUGCAUGGAGCGGACCAGUACUAAUCGGUCGAGGACUUAACCAA